AACGAACGCUGGCGGCAUGCCUAACACAUGCAAGUCGAACGAGACCUUCGGGUCUAGUGGCGCACGGGUGCGUAACGCGUGGGAACCUGCCCUUAGGUUCGGAAUAACUCCCCGAAAGGGGUGCUAAUACCGGAUAAUGUCUUCGGACCAAAGAUUUAUCGCCUUUGGAUGGGCCCGCGUUGGAUUAGCUAGUUGGUAGGGUAAAAGCCUACCAAGGCGACGAUCCAUAGCUGGUCUGAGAGGAUGAUCAGCCACACUGGGACUGAGACACGGCCCAGACUCCUACGGGAGGGAGCAGUGGGGAAUAUUGGACAAUGGGCGAAAGCCUGAUCCAGCAAUGCCGCGUGAGUGAUGAAGGCCUUAGGGUUGUAAAGCUAUUUUACCCGGGAUGAUAAUGACAGUACCGGGAGAAUAAGCUCCGGCUAACUCCGUG
rnacentral:rRNA from 1 species